UCCUCCUUACAGAGGCAGUUUUGUCCGAGUUCCCGACAUUACUCGCUGGCAACAGACAAUGAGGGUUGCGCUCGUUGCGGGACUUAACCCAACAUUUCACAACACGAGCUGACGACAGCCAUGCACCGCCUGUGCACUGGUCCCGAAGGAGGGCCGUAUUUCUACGGCUUUCCAGUGCAUGUCAAGCCCUGGUAAGGUUCUUCGCGUUGCAUCGAAUUAAACCACAUGCUCCACCGCUUGUGCGGGCCCCCGCCAAUUCCUUUGAGUUUUAGCCUUGCGGCCGUACUCCCCAGGCGGGGCGCUUAAUGCGUUAGCUGCGGCACAGAGAACCGGAGAGGCCCCCCACACCUAGCGCCCAACGUUUACAGCGUGGACUAC
rnacentral:misc_RNA from 1 species